rnacentral:rRNA from 1 species
UACGUAGGCAGCAAGCGUUGUUCGGAGUUACUGGGCGUAAAGGGUGCGUAGGCGGCUUCUUAAGUCUGAUGUGAAAGCCCACGGCUCAACCGUGGAGGGUCAUUGGAAACUGGGGAACUUGAGUGCAGAAGAGGAAAGUGGAAUUCCGAAGUGUAGCGGUGAAAUGCGUAGAGAUUGGGAGGAACACCAGUGGCGAAGGCGGCUCACUGGACCGGUACUGACGCUGAUGCGCGAAAGCGUGGGGAGCAAACGGGG